GACGAACGCUGGCGGCGUGCUUAAUACAUGCAAGUGGAGCGACGAACCAGGCUUCGGCCUGGGGCAGAGCCGCGAACGGGUGAGUAACACGUGGGUAACCUGCCUCGAUGACCGGGACAACCCGGGGAAACCCGGGCUAAUACCGGAUGUGCUGUCCCCACAUCAGUGGAGACAGGAAAGGAAGCUUCGGCCUCCGCAUCGAGAUGGGCCCGCGGCCCAUUAGCUUGUUGGUGUGGAACGGCUCACCAAGGCUGCGAUGGGUAGCUGGUCUGAGAGGACGAUCAGCCACACUGGGACUGAGACACGGCCCAGACUCCUACGGGAGGCAGCAGUAGGGAAUCUUGCGCAAUGCGCGAAAGCGUG
rnacentral:rRNA from 1 species